GACGAACGCUGGCGGCGUGCUUAACACAUGCAAGUCGAGCGGUAAGGCCCUUUCGGGGGUACACGAGCGGCGAACGGGUGAGUAACACGUGGGUGACCUGCCCUUAGCUCUGGGAUAAGCCUGGGAAACUGGGUCUAAUACCGGAUAUGACUCCAUGACGCAUGUUGUGGGGUGGAAAGCCUUGUGCGGCUAGGGAUGGGCCCGCGGCCUAUCAGCUUGUUGGUGGGGUGAUGGCCACCAAGGCGACGACGGUAGCCGGCCUGAGAGGGCGACCGGCCACAUUGGGACUGAGACACGGCCCAGACUCCUACGGGAGGCAGCAGUGGGGAAUCUUGCGCAAUGGGCGAAAGCCUGACGCAGCGACGCCGCGUGGGGAGUGACGGCC
rnacentral:rRNA from 1 species